AUGAUAUACUAAAUUAGACUUUGCCAAAAAUAUCAAUUUAAAAACAAUGCAUGCAUUCUAAGUGUGUGCACAAAAUAUCUUUCAUUCUUUCAGAACAAAAACAAUUAGCAUUACUAUUUCUUCCAAUCAACACUAAGCAAAAAGCCUAACAAUGAUUUCCAUUACAAACUGCAUCUUAAUCCUAACAAGAGUUUCCAUUACAAACUGCACCUUAAUCCAACUAUUUAAAACGAAAACUAGUCAUCUAGCCAUUAAUAUUAUUUAAACCCAAGGCAAAGGCAAACCAAAAUAUACUCCCUCAUACUACACGUCUAUACCCCCUUACCCAACACAUGUAUAUGUACAUCAAGGAAUAAGAGUAAAUAAUACUCCUAACCAAUUACCACACGUCUUCUUCAUUAACCCAAACAAUUCUCUCUCUCUCUAGUUAUUAAAACUUCACUACUCUCUGUCUCUCCCUAAAUCUCAGUCUCACACUCUAUCUUCACCAAAUCAGCGUCUCACUCACUCCUAUUCUCCGCCCGUCGAAAACGCUGCACCGCCCCUGCUGCUGUCUCGUCCCGUCUCCGUCGUCGAGCAGCGCCUUUUUGCACAAACGGGAAGUGUUAUCCCCCUUUUCCCCAUUCUAAAAAAUUUUUAAAGAUUUUAAUUUGUUUUUCAUAAGGUUUGAAGAACUUGAAUUCGCUCAAAGGGCUUAUUACUACUGCAGAUAAAAAAAAUCGGAUCUUGAGCAAAUCUCUCAAAAAGGGUUCAAAGUGUUGUUAUGAUUUUUGUGAGUGAGCUAUCGUGAGUGAGGCACUUAAGCCAUGGAAUUGAGAGAAAAGAAUGUACCUCUGUUGCAGGGAGAGAAUUUCAGAUUUGAAAAAGAAACAACUCGAUAAAUUCCUCGGCUUCUAUUUCAAUUAUUUUUCGUAGAACGAGGAAACUGAUUUCAUUGUGGAGUUGAAGGUAAUAUAAGGAUUUGCUUUGUUUGUUGGAGAUUUUUAAGGUAGUGGGGAUGUUAAUAUAACCGUGUGAUUUUUAAUAUAGAAGGAUUUGAAGUAAAA